rnacentral:sRNA from 1 species
UUUGUAUACAUAGUUCAAUUUUCCUAAGC